rnacentral:rRNA from 1 species
AUUGAACGCUGGCGGCAGGCUUAACACAUGCAAGUCGAACGAGUGGCGGACGGGUGAGUCAUGCUUGGGAAUCUAGCUUAUGGAGGGGGAUAACUACGGGAAACUGUAGCUAAUACCGCGUACCAUAGGAUUCGCCCAAGUGGGAUUAGUUAGUUGGUGAGGUAACGGCUCACAAAGCCGACGAUCUCUAGAUGGUCUGAGAGGAUGACCAGCCACACGGGGACUGAGACACGGCCCAGACUCCUACGGGAGGCAGCAGUGGGGAAUAUUGCACAAUGGGCGAAAGCCUGAUGCAGCCAUGCCGCGUGUAGGAAGAAGGCCGUAGGGUUGUAAAGUACUUUCAGCGGGGAGGCGUUACCCGCAGAAGAAGCACCGGCUAACUCCGUGCCAGCAGCCGCGUUAAUUC